CCUACGGGAGGUAGCAGUGGGGAAUUUUGGACAAUGGGCGAAAGCCUGAUCCAGCCAUGCCGCGUGCAGGAUGAAGGCCUUCGGGUUGUAAACUGCUUUUGUACGGAACGAAAAGCCUCUUUCUAAUAAAGAGGGGUCAUGACGGUACCGUAAGAAUAAGCACCGGCUAACUACGUGCCAGCAGCCGCGGUAAUACGUAGGGUGCGAGCGUUAAUCGGAAUUACUGGGCGUAAAGCGUGCGCAGGCGGUUAUAUAAGACAGUUGUGAAAUCCCCGGGCUCAACCUGGGAACUGCAUCUGUGACUGUAUAGCUAGAGUACGGUAGAGGGGGAUGGAAUUCCGCGUGUAGCAGUGAAAUGCGUAGAUAUGCGGAGGAACACCGAUGGCGAAGGCAAUCCCCUGGACCUGUACUGACGCUCGUGCACGAAAGCGUGGGGAGCAAACAGGAUUAGAUACCCUGGUAGUCCACGCCCUAAACGAUGUCAACUGGUUGUUGGGAAUUCACUUUCUCAGUAACGAAGCUAACGCGUGAAGUUGACCGCCUGGGGGAGGUACGGCCGCGAGGUAGAACGUACGAAGGUAAGUUAGACGGCGUGAGACGUGCCGACGGACGACGACGAGGGAGGAGG
rnacentral:rRNA from 1 species